CUGCGAGUGAAGCGGGAAAAGCUCAAAUUUAAAAUCUGGCGGUCUUUUGGCUGUCCGAGUUGUAAUCUAGAGAAGUGUUAUCCGCGCUGGACCGUGUACAAGUCUCCUGGAAUGGAGCGUCAUAGAGGGUGAGAAUCCCGUCUUUGACACGGACUGCCAGGGCUUUGUGAUGCGCUCUCAAAGAGUCGAGUUGUUUGGGAAUGCAGCUCAAAAUGGGUGGUAAAUUCCAUCUAAAGCUAAAUAUUGGCGAGAGACCGAUAGCGAACAAGUACCGUGAGGGAAAGAUGAAAAGAACUUUGGAAAGAGAGUUAAACAGUACGUGAAAUUGCUGAAAGGGAAACGCUUGAAGUCAGUCGCGUUGACUGGGGAUCAACCUUGCUUUUGCUGGGCGUACUUCCCGGUUGAUGGGUCAGCAUCAAUUUUGACCGUUGGAUAAAGUUCAGGGGAAUGUGGCAUCUUCGGAUGUGUUAUAGCCCUUGGUCGCAUACAACGGUUGGGAUUGAGGAACUCAGCACGCCGCAAGGCCGGGUAUUUAUACCACGUUCGUGCUUAGGAUGCUGGCAUAAUGGCUUUAAUCGACCCGUCUUGAAACACGGACCAAGGAGUCUAACAUGCCUGCGAGUGUUUGGGUGGAAAACCCGAGCGCGUAAUGAAAGUGAAAGUUGAGAUCCCUGUCGUGGGGAGCAUCGACGCCCGGACCAGACCUUUUGUGACGGAUCCGCGGUAGAGCAUGUAUGUUGGGACCCGAAAGAUGGUGAACUAUGCCUGAAUAGGGUGAAGCCAGAGGAAACUCUGGUGGAGGCUCGUAGCGAUUCUGACGUGCAAAUCGAUCGUCAAAUUUGGGUAUA
rnacentral:rRNA from 1 species